AAUUGGCUUACUCGCAACUUUUUUUUUGCUUCUCUUACCAGUGAUCUCGAAGCAGCAGGUGCAGGGCUUGCUGCAGACAAUCGAUAAACAGUUCAGGCCAUUUCCUACUACCUCUUCUUCGCGAACUGCACGGGAAGGACCAUGUUUUAUUACCGGUUUAAGUUGUGGGACAAAGAUCUGGAUGCAGGUUCUGGCAAUUCUUCAGCUACCGGAGUCAAAAUCGCCUCGUUCAACACAUCCUUUAUGUUCAACCUAUACCAAAUUGGCAACAGUGCUCGGGGAGAAGGUUUAGCAUUCGUGGUAGUGUCGGAUCUAGAGCUUCCCAUGGGGAGUGCUAGUCUAUUCUUGGGGUUGACAAACUAUCACAGUGACGGAGAUCCACAGAAUCACCUUAUUGCUAUUGAGUUUGACACAUUGAAGCAGGAAUUUCGAUCCCAACUCAAAUCACAUUGGUCUUGACAUCAACAGCAUCCAGUCGAACCAGACUGUGUCCCCAUUGAACUUCGAGUUCCAGUUGGUUCUGUAUGGCACAAGAUUCUUCCACUUCUGGGUCCACUAUGACGGGUUUAGUAAGUAUCUCGAGGUCUACAUGGUGGACGAGGACCACUCCACUCCAACCAAGCCAAGGCCAAGUAAGCCCGCGAUGACUGCAGACUUGGACACAAGUCGAGUUUUGAAGCAGUACAGCCAUUUAGGGUUGUCAGCAUCGACAGGGACCAACGUCCAGCUGAACUCUGUCCUCUUGUGGAAUCUGAAGGUGGAUAGAAUCUGACAAUGGAGAACCGAGGGUCAACAGCACCAAAGGAUCGAGGGUCUGACUCUAGGUUUAGAUAUCGGGGUGCCUAUUUCGGUAAUAUCGGUAAGGUUGGAGGCCUUGGCCUAUGUUGUGCACCUGAAAAACGGGGGGCAGCCAAUGAGAAGAACGGGUUAGUAAACCACAGUGGUCUUGCACAGUUCCUCCUUCCUCUCUCACAUCCACAACAGCAGAGAUCCAGAUCGGGCACAAAUUGCCGGUGCAUGAUGAGAAAUCUGCCAUUUCAGAGUGCAAUCACAGUCCUCUGUGAGUUUCAGACUCUUCAGAGCACGAAAGGACGGGAAAGGCAAUGUCUCCCUUUCAACCCUUGACGGUAAAGGAAGUUGUGGAAUCCCCACCGACACAUUUUCCUCGCAUCUUUAGCUGAUUAGCGAUAACGGAGAAAGAGCCAAGCCAUAGGUUUGCAUCACAAUCCCAUACAGGCUUUGUCGGGAGGGAUUUGCGGAGCUAGACAACCUUUUCAAGCCAAAGGAAACGAGAGUUCCUAGCUCUGACAUUGUAUGGGGCCCCCAUCUCCAUACCUCUGCCUACCUCUUCCUCUUCUUUAAGACCGGCUCCUACUCAGACCCUAUCUCCACUCGAAGAGAACAAAUUUGCCCAACAUGAUCAUUAUUCAGCGCAAAUGAAAUACUCAAAGCAUGACGGACUAUUGGAAAGGACAAAUGACCAAGGCGUUGAUGCCACAAGGUACUGCAAAACCGAGGUGGAUAGAUGAGCCCGAAGGUCUCUGGUGUGACUGCCAUCAUUAACUGGGCCUCGUGAUAGCUCUUGGCACGCUCGAAGAUCCUUGAUAAUAAAACAGUCAAGUGAAGUUCAAAAAAGCAAGUAUUAUCUCGAGAAAACUUGUAAAUCUACUGCUGCCAUAGCCACCAUUAAAGCCGCGCCCACCUUGACCGCUGCCUCUGCCCUUUCCUCCCUUGCCAUUCCGGCCACCUCUGCCACGACCUCCUCCUCUGCUAGUACCGCGAUAGUCAGCAAAGUGCACUUCAGGAGCUGGUCCGAGGAUACCAGAGAGAGGGGCGGCGUAGUUCCGGCGCUCCUCGUGGCCCAUAAGAAUUCUGGGCCAGAAUUAGAGGCUCCCGUUCAUUGCCUAGGCCGGUGUAGAUGCGACGAUUAAUCUGAGCCGAUGUCUUCGGCUUUUUGAUCUGGGCGAAACGAAGGGCAUGCUGUUUCACGGAAUUGAUGAAGUUCAGCGUCGAUGAUGUGCCCUUUCGAAGGUCCCGCACUUCAGCUCUAGGAGAUCCUCCUAUGCUGCCGUUUGGUUGAGAAAUGACGUCUACAGCGAUUUCCAGGCCUAGAGUAUAGUGCAACUAAUCUCCUCUGUGACUGCUAGCGCGUUGCAGGUAAGAGCAAAGUUAUCUUUCGAUGCCCAUUGUUGGUAGUUAGGAUUUGGGGUGUUGCUGUCGUCAGUUCCGGUGAUGGUCUGGCUUGGAGCCUGUGCUCGACCUUCAACGUUUGUCGAUGAGUCCAUAGGUGUUAAGAAGAGGAGUCAUAAUUCCUUUCCAAAACAAGUAGUUUCUGCCAUUGAGAUUGACAGGAAUUGUUGGAAAAGAUGACGAAAGGCUGAUUGAGGAAGAGGGAGAGGAGGCAGUGUUAUUUUGGCAUGAAGUGAGGGAUAGAUGGGGCUGAGGAGAGUCGGCGGAUGGCUCGGAAUGGAUUGUAGGAUCGAGGGGAAGGGUAUGGGUGUUGCCUGAUUCAGGACUCUGAUACCAUGAAGAUUAGAAGAGAGUUGGUUAGAAGAGAGUUGGUUAGAAGAGAGUUGGUUGAAUCCUCACUCGAAUCGUGUGAGGUGUAUUCAUUCAAAUAUAUAGCAUUGUGCAUGAGCAUAUGCAUGGAAAUAAAUCACGGCUAUUAAUUCACAGCUA